GUAGGUGGCAAGCGUUGUCCGGAAUUAUUGGGCGUAAAGCGCGCGCAGGCGGUCCUUUAAGUCUGAUGUGAAAGCCCACGGCUCAACCGUGGAGGGUCAUUGGAAACUGGGGGACUUGAGUACAGAAGAGGAAAGCGGAAUUCCAAGUGUGGCGGUGAAAUGCGUAGAGAUUUGGAGGAACACCAGUGGCGAAGGCGGCUUUCUGGUCUGUAACUGACGCUGAGGCGCGAAAGCGUGGGGAGCAAACAGGAUUAGAUACCCUGGUAGUCCACGCCGUAAACGAUGAGUGCUAAGUGUUAGGGGGUUUCCCGCCCCCUUAGUGCUGCAGCUAACGCAUUAAGCACUCCGCCUGGGGAGUACGGCCGCAAGGCUG
rnacentral:rRNA from 1 species